CUGACAUGUGGAGACGCAGCACCAAAAACAGUUAUCUUGCCCCAUUUGACAAGGGAAGUUCAUUUGCUUUUCUGUCCACUCAGGCAGGAUGGAAUUGGAGAAGGUAUUCUGCACCAGAAGCCAGGAUCUCUGGGUUCCAGUUCUGACUAUGCCCCUAAAGAGAAGUUCUGCUACUCACCUUGGGUAAAUCACAACACCCUCUGCAUGGUGGCAGUUUGGCUAUAAUUUUCUCUCCUUCACUCGUCACCUUCUCCAUUGAUUCUCCAACCCUUCAACCUUCUUUAAGUAAUCACUCAUGAGAUACAUAAAAUACCUCUAUAUUUUUGGAUGUUGUAUAUUUCCUACUGAGAGAAGCUCCUCUUCUUGUGGUGAAUAAUGAAAAUUACAAGUGCCUGGCUCAUUUGUGUCAAGAUGAUAUGAGGAAACUGAAGGUCACUUUCAGCAUACUUUACCAUGCCUCCCAGGCAUUGCUGAUAAGAAAAAGACAGAAGGACAAAGACAAAAUUAACUUUUAAUUUCCCAUCCAAGCUACAACUAACAGAAACAGAGAGACGGAGACAGAAGUGCCAAAGCCUUCAUAAUUUAAGCCAGGAUGAAAAAUCACCUUGGAGUCACAGAAAUCAGCCUGAUUUGGAUAUGGCACCUUGAAAUUACUUGGGGACCUCUGUUAGAAGGAUAUAUCACCUUGGCUAAAUCACUGAGGAUUGCUCCUCCUGAGAAAUGUGGGCAUAAGAUAAAUCUAAAAGGGUCCAGUCAAGAUCAGUUACUCCUCCUUGGGAUGGACAAGAGCUUGGAAAGGGAUGUGAUUCUAUCAGUAAUUCGCCUAGGAAAAAUUCCUAUCUUUUUUCUGACCUGUCCUGUAAAGAAAUUGCAAUGUCAUCACAAAAGGGAAUGAAAUUGCAGUCCAUUCUUAACUAUCAAAAUAUUUCCAAGAAAAUAUAAUUUUUGAAGAAAAGAGUAAAACUCAUUCCCAUGAAAGCAAUCUUUUUAUCACCAUGCUUCAACCCAGCACAGUGUUGGGGGGUAGGGGGGAGAGUACUGAACUAGAAGCUAAGAGUCAGGUAGGAUACCAGCAAUGUCCCAAGUGGCAUAUUCAAGCAGAGUGAUUGAGGAGAGUUUAAAGAUGGAGCAGUUUACAAAAGGGUAGACAGGGUACAGUGAAACCAACAACAGAUGGUGAAAUACCGAGGGGGCUAGUGUUGCCACCUCUAGGGCUGAAAGGGCAGAAGAAAGUGAGAUAACUGUAUAUGUAGAUGCAGAAGAAGGUAUGUGGGUCUGCUGGAAGCUGCAGACAUCAUCAUCACCAUUAUCAUCAUUAUUCCCAUUCAGAGAAUAAAUACCUCAACCUUACUUUCCCCCAAAAUGGCGUCUUUCGAUGGCAUCUCCCCUUGGUGGAGCCCAACAGGAAGCCUGAGGCCAGGAGUGCUGGUGCUCACAAUUCAUACAGGUCAGCCUCCCAUGGUGGCGAGAUGUGUGGUGAAGGUUGGAAUGGAGCUUCCAGGAAAAGAAAAUAACCUAGCACAGCAGAUCUUGCCACAGGUGAAAUCUUGGGGUCCUGAGACUUUUCUUCCCUCUCUGAGCUAGAUGGCAGUUGGGGAUCAUUCCAAGAACCAAAAUCC